rnacentral:rRNA from 1 species
GACGACCUGCUGACCGAGGAGGGACAUU